AUUGAACGCUGGCGGCAGGCUUAACACAUGCAAGUCGAGCGGGGUGAUGGUGCUUGCACUAUCACUUAGCGGCGGACGGGUGAGUAAUGCUUAGGAAUCUGCCUAUUAGUGGGGGACAACAUCUCGAAAGGGAUGCUAAUACCGCAUACGUCCUACGGGAGAAAGCAGGGGAUCACUUGUGACCUUGCGCUAAUAGAUGAGCCUAAGUCGGAUUAGCUAGUUGGUGGGGUAAAGGCCUACCAAGGCGACGAUCUGUAGCGGGUCUGAGAGGAUGAUCCGCCACACUGGGACUGAGACACGGCCCAGAGUCCUACGGGAGGCAGCAGUGGGGAAUAUUGGACAAUGGGGGGAACCCUGAUCUAGCCAUGCCGCGUGUGUGAAGAAGGCCUUAUGGUUGUAAAGCACUUUAAGCGAGGAGGAGGCUCUUUUGGUUAAUACCCAAGAUGAGUGGACGUUACUCGCAGAAUAAGCACCGGCUAACUCUGUGCCAGCAGCCGCCGUAA
rnacentral:rRNA from 1 species